rnacentral:rRNA from 1 species
UACGUAGGGGGCAAGCGUUGUUCGGAAUUACUGGGCGUAAAGGGAGCGCAGGCGGAAAGGUAAGUUGGAAGUGUAAUCUACAGGCUUAACUUGUAGUUUGCUUCCAAUACUGUCUUUCUUGAGUAUGAGAGAGGAAGAUGGAAUUCCAGGUGUAGCGGUGGAAUGCGUAGAUAUCUGGAAGAACACCAGUUGUGAAAGCGGUCUUCUAGCUCAAUACUGACGCUCAUGCUCGAAAGCUAGGGGAGCAAACAGGAUUAGAUACCCUGGUAGUCCUAGCCGUAAACGAUGGACACUAGAUGCUGGAACUAUAUGUUUCAGUGUCGCAGUUAACGCGUUAAGUGUCCCGCCUGGGGAGUACGCUCGCAAGGGUGAAACUCAAAGGAAUUGACGGGGGCCCGCACAAGCGGUGGAGCAUGUGCUUUAAUUCGAUGCAACGCGAAGAACCUUACCUGGGUUUGACAUGGGAGUGAAAGUCUUCAGAGAUGGAGGCCCUUCCUUCGGGAACACUCUACACAGGUGCUGCAUGGUUGUCGUCAGCUCGUGUCGUGAGAUGUUGGGUUAAGUCCCGCAACGAGCGCAACCCUCGCCAUUAGUUGCCAGCGGGUAAUGCCGGGAACUCUAAUGGGACUGCUUGGUAUAACCAGGAGGAAGGUGGGGAUGACGUCAAAUCAUCAUGGCCCUUACGUCCAGGGCUAGACACGUGCUACAAUGGCCAGUACAGAGGGUUGCAAGACUGCAAAGUCAAGCUAAUCCCGCAAAAUUGGUCUCAGUUCGGAUUGAAGUCUGCAAUUUGACUUCAUGAAGCUGGAAUCGCUAGUAAUCGCGGAUCAGCAUGCCGCGGUGAAUACGUUCCCGGGCCU